UACAGAGGUCUCGAGCGUUAGGCGGAAUCACUGGGCUUAAAGCGUGUGUAGGCGGAUCGGUAAGUACCUUGUGAAAUCCCACGGCUUAACCGUGGAACGGCUUGGUAUACUGCCAGUCUUGAGCCAUCUAGGGGCUACCGGAACAAAUGGUGGAGCGGUGAAAUGCGUAGAUAUCAUUUGGAACGCCAAUGGUGAAAACAGGUAGCUGGGGAUGUGCUGACGCUGAGACACGAAAGCCAGGGGAGCAAACGGG
rnacentral:rRNA from 1 species